rnacentral:rRNA from 1 species
CACGUAGGGGGCGAGCGUUGUCCGGAUUUAUUGGGCGUAAAGAGCUCGUAGGCGGUUCACUAAGUCGGGUGUGAAACCUCCAGGCUCAACCUGGAGACGCCACCUGAUACUGGUGUGACUAGAGUCCGGUAGGGGAGUGUGGAACUCCUGGUGUAGCGGUGAAAUGCGCAGAUAUCAGGAGGAACACCGGUGGCGAAGGCGGUUCUCUGGGCAUUACCUGACGCUGAGGAGCGAAAGUGUGGGGAGCGAACAGG